rnacentral:rRNA from 1 species
AUUGAACGCUGGCGGCAUGCCUUACACAUGCAAGUCGAGCGCGAAAGGGGGCAACCCCGAGUAGAGCGGCGGACGGGUGAGUAACGCAUCGGAACGUGCCCAGUAGUGGGGGACAACCUCGAGAAAUCGAGGCUAAUACCGCAUACGACCCACGGGUGAAAGCGGGGGACCGCAAGGCCUCGCGCUAUUGGAGCGGCCGAUGUCCGAUUAGCUAGUUGGCGGGGUAAGAGCCCACCAAGGCGACGAUCGGUAGCUGGUCUGAGAGGACGACCAGCCACACUGGGACUGAGACACGGCCCAGACUCCUACGGGAGGCAGCAGUGGGGAAUUUUGGACAAUGGGGGCAACCCUGAUCCAGCCAUGCCGCGUGCGGGAAGAAGG